rnacentral:lncRNA from 10 species
GAACUUCCAACAUGGGAACCACUACAACAGAACAAGACCCUUGAAACAGGUGUCUGUGAACUCAAGAGAAGCCUUUCAUUCUAGACAUAGUAGUUAUUUUCUAAAUCAUCUUUAAACUUAUUUGCUGGAAUAUUGUGGGGGUAAAGUGCAAACUUCCCCUUCACCAUCUGAAGGUUUGCUAAAAAUCAACAGGCAGAAGGCGAAUUAACAGGAGAAAUGGCAUGCCAAUUUGUUUGAUCACAGUUUUACAUGAAGAAUGAAGACCCAAAGACACAUGAGAAAUUGUCCAUUUUUAUGCAACACCAGACCAGGCGAUGCUCUAAGACAGGUACAACAAAGUAUGGACAUGCGUGUAGAAAUACGAGUCAACUAAAGGGUGUGAUCUACUGCUAAUAGGCUGAGUGGGGACACCCAGACUCUUCCUGGCCCCUGUGAGCAGCUUCCUUUCCUUCUGGUGUGGGGCAGGAACUUCUCUGGAAUGGGGAUCUUCUGACCCACAGUCAAACAAGAAUUGGACAGAAGUCACAUCAGGGAGACCAGAGACUAGAGUAUUGCAUCAUAGAGGAAAGACACUGAUGACAAGACCUCAGGGGAGCAGUGGAACUGGAGGCCUGGGAGCUUGGGACGUGUUCUCCGGGUGAAGUUGGCUGGCCAGCUGAUGACCUACACCAGUGCCAUUCACUCCUCAUGUGUCCCCCGGGAAUUCAUAGUGUGUGUCAUCAGAUUUCAUUUCCCACGUUUCCUGUCUUCAAAUGAAGCAAUAUAGAACGGGGUAAUUGAACAGGCUUUAGGAUCUUCCAGUUUGAGUUCAGACCCUGUCUCAUUGCUUACCGGGAUAUGGGAACUUGGCACCUCACUGGACUUCAGGAAGCCUCAGCUUUCCUAUCUGGUGUGUGGCAAAUGUCCAACCACGAAGGCAGCACUUCACUCAGCAUCCAGUACAGAGGAAGGAUGUCAGCAGUGCUGUAGAUUGUCAUUACAUGUUUGCUCAACCAAGAAUGUUUCCACUGAGUGAGGCUGAUUGGGAAAAAAUAUUAUAGGGCGGUUCACUCAAC